rnacentral:rRNA from 1 species
AGGAUGAACGCUGGCGGCGUGCCUAAUACAUGCAAGUCGAGCGAACAGACGAGGAGCUUGCUCCUCUGACGUUAGCGGCGGACGGGUGAGUAACACGUGGAUAACCUACCUAUAAGACUGGGAUAACUUCGGGAAACCGGAGCUAAUACCGGAUAAUAUAUUGAACCGCAUGGUUCAAUAGUGAAAGACGGUUUUGCUGUCACUUAUAGAUGGAUCCGCGCCGCAUUAGCUAGUUGGUAAGUAACGGCUUACCAAGGCAACGAUGCGUAGCCGACCUGAGAGGGUGAGUCGGCCACACUGGAACUGAGACACGGUCCAGACUCCUAGGGAGCAGCAGUAGGGAAUCGUUCCGACAAGUGGGCAAAGCCUGACGGAGCAACGCCGCGUGAGUGAGUGAAGGUC